rnacentral:lncRNA from 1 species
GCCAAUAAGACAAUUACAUGUAAAGGCAAGGUGGAAUUUGAUUAUGACAGGAACAGACAAUUACAUGUAAAGGCAGAGGAUGGAGAUUAAUGCACAAUAAAAUCAGCAUUUCCCUAACAAAGCUACCUUUUAGAUGCAAAGCCAGUCAUGAAUAGCAAAUAAGAGUCUUUGAGGUUGAAGUUUGGCAUGAGAAAGUGCCUUGUAAUGUCCUUUGAUCCCAUCUUCUGUCCCUUCUUCGCAAAGCGCCAUAGUCUUGGCGGCGGUGUAAGGCUUUCCUCACAUGUCUCUGGCUCCUCCUUGAUAGUUGCUAGCUUACUCUUGAGUAUUUCCUCUAUGUCUUUCCAGGAGUCAGUCCGGAAAUUCUUUCUACUCAUGCAAGGCACCACCCGCCACAUUUUUCGGUAUGCCCUCCUCAUCUGCUUUCAAGUCGAGUUCUUCUCGGACAAACUAGGUCUUUAGCAGAAAGUGGUCAUGAUCACACUAGUAAUGCUCUUCUCCUUGCCUAUCUAUAUAUAUAUAUAUAUAUAUAUAUAGAGAGAGAGAGAGAGAGAGAGAGAGAG